rnacentral:rRNA from 1 species
UACGUAGGGUGCAAGCGUUAAUCGGAAUUACUGGGCGUAAAGCGUGCGCAGGCGGUUUUGUAAGUCUGUCGUGAAAGCCCCGGGCUCAACCUGGGAAUUGCGAUGGAGACUGCAAGGCUUAAAUCUGGCAGAGGGGGGUAGAAUUCCACGUGUAGCAGUGAAAUGCGUAGAGAUGUGGAGGAACACCGAUGGCGAAGGCAGCCCCCUGGGUCAAGAUUGACGCUCAUGCACGAAAGCGUGGGGAGCAAACAGG